GACGAACGCUGGCGGCGUGCCUAAUACAUGCAAGUCGAGCGAGCGGAACUAACAGAUUUACUUCGGUCAUGACGGUAGGACAGCGAGCGGCGGAGUGGUGAGUAACACGUGGGGAACCUGCCACAUAGGCGGGGAUACCACUAGGAAACAGGAGCAAAUACCGGCUAAGAAAGCAGAUCGCAUGAUCAGCUUUUAAAAGGCGGCGUAAGCUGUCGCCAUGGGAUGGCCUCGCGGUGCAUUAGCCAGUUGGUAAGGUAAAGGCUUACCAAGGCGAUGAUGCAUAGCCGACUUGAGAGCGUGAUCGGCCACAUUGGAACUGAGACCCGGCCCAGACUCCUACGGGAGGCAGCAGUAGGGAAUCUUCCGCAAUGGGCGCAAGUCUGAUGGAGCAACGCCGCGUGAGUGAAGAAGGUUUUCGGAUCGUAAAGCUCUGUUGUUGGGGAAGAAGGAUAGAGGUAGUAACUGGCCAUUAUUUGACGGUAAGCAACCAGAAAGUCACGGCUAACUACGUG
rnacentral:rRNA from 1 species